GCCGCCGUAGCUCAGUGGUAGAGUAUCGGACGCGCGCUAUUUGAAGGUCGCAGGUUCGGUCCCUGCCGGCGGCA
rnacentral:tRNA from 1 species